AAAGCGGCGACGUUGAGAAUACAUGGGUAAUCACUCGAGUGGGGAAUUNAUUAGCGAAAGGUUAGCUAAUACCGAUACGACUCCUGUCUGCGGAUCGGGAGGGAAGCGAUACCCGUGGGUAUCGCGCUCUUGGAUGGGCUCAUGUCCUAUCAGCUUGUGGUGAGGUAAUGGCUCACCAAAGGCUUCGACGGGUACUGGUCUGAAGGACGAUCACACUGGACUGGAACGGGCCAACUCCCUACGGGAGGCAGCAGUGGGGAAUAUUGCACAAUGGGCGCAAGCCUGAUGCAGCCAUGCCGCGUGUAUGAAGAAGGCCUUCGGGUUGUAAAGUACUUUCGGCCGGGAAGAAAUCGCAUGGGCGAAUACCCUGUGUGGAUGACGGUACCGGAACAAGAAGCACCGGUUACUACGUGCCACAGCCGCGGUAAUACCUGGGGUGCACGUUAUCCGAAUUACUGGCGUAAACUGCCCGCGGUUGGUAUCCAAUUUAAUUCCCCGGGUCACUGGGAACUUGUUGAACUGCCAGUGGGAUUUUGGGCAAGGGGGGUGGGAAUCCAACGUGUAGCCAGGCAUCGCUCCAANAAUGUGCGAGGAACACCG
rnacentral:rRNA from 1 species